CAUGAAUUGGACUAAUACGAUUCGCGCACCGACGAAAUAAGAGCCGGAAUCAUGAGGAAAUAUCAGAUUUACGUGAUUUGUUUUGUUGUUUUGGCUUUUGCCGCUGCCACAGCUACAAGAGUUUGCAGCAACAGAAAUAUCUUGUGCUCUGUGGUUAGAUCAACUAGUUGUUCAAAGAAAAUCGUUUCCAGUCAUUGCCCAAGGCUUUGCAACACAUGUGGAGGUGAUACGGCUUCUUACACUUGAGGGGGUUGUCAUUGCAUUUUAGUUGUGAAUCUACCUAAUUUGUUUCGUAAUAGCAAAAUGUCGAAACAUAAAGGCGUCAAUGCGCGUUGAUUGUGGCUACCAUGGAAUUAGUCCGUUGGAUUGCUUGAGAAAGGGAUGUUGUUAUGGCGAAUUAAAGGUGGCUGGCCCGUGGUGUUAUCAUCGAAAAGCAAACUGUCCCAUGAUUGAAGCAAACAAACGUGAAGAUUGUGGUUACCCUGGGAUAAGCAAAUCAGAUUGCGUCAAAAAAGGAUGCUGUUACAACGUGAUCAAGGAAAAGGGACCGUGGUGUUAUUACAGGCAAGGUAAGUUGUUCCGCUCUUACUGAUUAGGUAUUUUGAAAGCAUUGUGUACUCUUCCAUCCGUAAUUUUAGAAAAAUGCCGGAAAAUAGCAGCAACAAGACGUCAUGAUUGUGGUUAUCCAGGCAUAACGAAGCGGGCAUGCGAAAAGAAAGGCUGUUGUUAUAGUGAAUUGCUAAACCAAAGUGGACCGUGGUGCUACCACCGCCUAGGUAAGCAUAGAAGUACGCUCUCCACAUUCGUCGCAAAAUAACAUAAUGCGCGAUCCUUAAAGUUUUUACUGCUGGUUUGUGUUGAAUUUUCGUUAGAAAAAUGUCUGCGCAAAGCAACAGAACGUGACGACUGCGGCUAUCCUGGUAUAACAGAAUUCGAAUGCAUGAAAAGAGGUUGCUGCUAUAAUUCAUUGCCCGGUCGUGGGCCAUGGUGUUAUUACCGAUGAGAUACGAGGACCUUCGGAAGAUUAUAUGCGAACUUUAGUGUACUCAUUGUUGUAAAAAUAUGUUGUCAAAUAAAUACCUCUAAUAUAUGAACUUUC